rnacentral:rRNA from 1 species
GACGAACGCUGGCGGCGUGCUUAACACAUGCAAGUCGAACGGAAAGGCCCCUUUGGGGGUACUCGAGUGGCGAACGGGUGAGUAACACGUGAGUAACCUGCCCUUGACUUCGGGAUAACUUCAGGAAACUGGGGCUAAUACCGGAUAGGAAUCCUUGCUGCAUGGUGGGGGUUGGAAAGCUUCGGCGGUUUUGGAUGGACUCGCGGCUUAUCAGCUUGUUGGUGGGGUAGUGGCUUACCAAGGCUUUGACGGGUAGCCGGCCUGAGGGGGCGACCGGCCACAUUGGGACUGAGAUACGGCCCAGGCUCCGACGGGAGGCAGCAGUGGGGAAUAUUGCACAAUGGGCGGAAGCCGGAUGCAGCAACGCCGCGUGCGGGAUGACGGCCUUCGGGUUGUAAACCGCUUUCAGCAGGGGCGAAGCUUGUGGUGACGGUACCUGCAGAAGAAGCACCGGCUAACUACGUG